CCUACGGGUGGCAGCAGUGAGGAAUAUUGGUCAAUGGACGCAAGUCUGAACCAGCCAUGCCGCGUGCAGGAAGACGGCUCUAUGAGUUGUAAACUGCUUUUGUACGAGGGUAAACGGAGAUACGCGUAUCUGUCUGAAAGUACUGUACGAAUAAGGAUCGGCUAACUCCGUGCUAGCAGCCGCGGUAAUACGGAGGGUUCAAGCGUUAUCCGGAUUUAUUGGGUUUAAAGGGUGCGUAGGCGGUCAGAUAAGUUAGAGGUGAAAUCCCGAGGCUCAACUUCGGAAUUGCCACUGAUACUAUUCGGCUAGAGUGUAGUUGAGGUAGGCGGAAUGUAUGGUGUAGCGGUGAAAUGCUUAGAUAUCA
rnacentral:rRNA from 1 species